rnacentral:lncRNA from 1 species
UUAUGUAAACAUAAAAAAAAAUUUGCCAAACAGUUUUUGAAAGUCACUUCAGAAAAAACACUUUUAUCUAAACUACGUCAAACGCUUUACAGUUUUUAACGAAAAUCACUUCUCCAAACAAAAAUCACUUUUUUAGAAAUCACUUUUUCGGAAGCUAGGCCAAACAGGUCCUUAUACUUCUAAUUCAAACACUCGAGUAUUUAAGGUCUU